CAGAAAUAGGUUGGUAACUGACUCAUGUUAGAAAAUAUAACAUUUAAAAAUAGAGAUGAUCACAUGCUGUGGGUGAUCCCAUGGAAUGGGGCUUCAGGUGGAGGUAGAAUUUAAACCGUGUUUUCUGCUCUCCUGUCACAGCACUGCUAUUAUUUGUGUUUCCCACACAGAAUCACAGCUUUUUGCACCUCCUCAAUGUGACUUACCAUAUUUAGGAACUGAGGCAAUCUGAAACCUUUUGAGAUAUGGUGGCCAGAAUUAAAUGGAAUACUCAGAUUCUCAAUGCACGUUUAAAGGCUGAAACAUCCACAGCAGCACUGCAAAGAUGGCAGUAAUGCCUUUGCGGAAUGCAUUGAUGUAUACAAGUAGUGAGAAGGAAAUGGUGCAAAAGCAAAUAAAGUGGAAGAGAACAAGUGAGUGUGAAAGAAGAGCAACUCCAUGCUAUUGGCUGUACUCAGCAGGACUGAUGAGGGCAGCUCUUUUGCUGAUUCAGAACUACCAUGUUCCUCAGUGAUUUUCUGCAGUGGAACUCUAAAUACGUAGAGCUGUAGGCUUUGUUUUGGUCAUUCACCCAGGAUAUGAGAGACCUGAUGCAAUUGUUUUUUCUGCCUCAAACCUUGAUGAAUUUCAGAUACAUUUCUCCAGCCUCCAGAAAAGUCUCUUUACCAGGUAAUAUGCCCUUCAUG
rnacentral:lncRNA from 1 species